CCUACGGGAGGCUGCAGUGAGGAAUAUUGGUCAAUGGGCGGGAGCCUGAACCAGCCAAGUCGCGUGAGGGAAGACGGUCCUAUGGAUUGUAAACCUCUUUAGGCGGGGAGCAAUGCCGGGCACGCGUGCCCGGAGGGAGAGUACCCGCAGAAUAAGCAUCGGCUAACUCCGUGCCAGCAGCCGCGGUAAUACGGAGGAUGCGAGCGUUAUCCGGAUUUAUUGGGUUUAAAGGGUGCGUAGGCGGAUUUUUAAGUCAGCGGUAAAAUGUCCGGGCUCAACCCGGGCCGGCCGUUGAAACUGGGGAGCUUGAGUGGGCGAGAAGUAUGCGGAAUGCGUGGUGUAGCGGUGAAAUGCAUAGAUAGCACGCAGAACUCCGAUUGCGAAGGCAGCAUACCGGCGCCCGACUGACGCUGAGGCACGAAAGCGUGGGGAUCGAACAGGAUUAGAUACCCGAGUAGUC
rnacentral:rRNA from 1 species